rnacentral:lncRNA from 1 species
GGUGGCCCUCCGGGUGUCACCUUCUGGUGGUGGCCCUCCGGGUGUCACCUUCUGGUGGUGGCCCUCCAGGUUUCACCUUCUGGUGGUGGUCCCCCAGGUGUCACCUCCUAGUGGUGGUCCUCCAGGUGGCCCUCUGGGUGUCACCUCCUAGUGGUGAUCCUCCAGGUGUCACCUCCUAGUAGUGGUCCUCCAGGUGGUCCUCCAGCUGCCACCUCCCCAUGGUGGCCCUCUGGGUGUCACAUCCUAGUGGUAGUCCUCCAGGUGGUCCUCCAGGUGUCACCCCCUUGUGGUGGCUCUCUGGAUGUCACCUUCUAGUGGUGGCCCUCCGGGAUGUCCUGGUGGUCCUUGAGUUCCUUCCUGGUGGGCGGGAGUUGGGUCCUCCUGUUUUGUCCCCAUGGUUCUCUUGGUGGCAGGUGGUUCCCUCACGGUGUCCCCAAGUUCUUCAGGUCCUUCAUGGUGUCCCCGUGGUGUCCCCGUGUCCCUCAGGUCCCUCAUGGUGUCACUGUGGUGUCUCCAUGUUUUUCAGGACCUUCAUGGUGUUCCCAUGGUGUCCAUCAGGUCCCUCCUGGUGUCCCCGUGUCCUUUAGGUCCUUCAUGGUGUCCCUAUGGUGUCCCCAUGUCUCUCAGGUCCCUCCUGGUGUCCCCAUGGUGUCCCCAUGUCAUCCCCAUGUCCCUCAGGUCCCCCAUGGUGUCACUGUGGUCUUCCCAUGUUCUUCAGGACCUUCAUGGUGUCCCCAUGUGAUGUCCCCAUGUCCCUCAGCUCCCUCCUUGUGUCGCCAUAUCCUUCAGGUCCUUCAUGGUGUCCCCACGAUCUCCUUCAGGUCCCCUGUGGUGUCCCCAUGGUGUCCCCAUGUCCCUUAGAUCCUUCAUGGUGUCCCCACGGUGUCCCCUGUGGUGUCCCCACAUCUUUCGGGUCCCCCAUGGUGUCCCUGUGGUGUCCCCAUGUCCUUUGUGCUCUCCAUGGUGUCCCCCCCAUGGAGACACCAGAAUGUCACAGGGAUCCACGUGUCCCCCUCAGUGUCCCCAUGUCCCCAGUGCCAUCAAUGCGGCGUCUGUGUGUCCCCCCUCCCACACUGAGGUCCCUUGUCCUCUCCCUGUCACCCCACAGGUGACAACGUGGGACGAGUACCGCGAGGAGGGGACCUUCCCCGGCAAGAUCUGAGCUUCUCUGAGGCUUGGGGGGGGGGUCACCGUUGUCCCCCCGGGGCAGGGGGUUGGUGACACGCACACCUGGUGGGACACCGCCGUCACCGGGGUGGGGGAGGGGACACCGUUGUCACCGUGGGGCGGUGACGCGGCCAAUAAAGGGUUAAACUGGUGCUGAGUGCGGCUCCCA